CAAAGGCGUACAGUACUUCCAACCGGCUGCUAACUGGGUGGGAAUUUGCAAUCUUUGUUUCCCCCUCCUCCAACCUCCCUAGCUGCAGGCAGAUGUGAUUUUGAACUCUCUCUCUCCCCCUCUUUCUUUACUUUCCCCUCCUCUCUCCUGUACAGAGAGGGAUUUCUUUUUCUACUUCUCUCCCUCGAUUCCAAGACUCAAGAAGUCUUUUUCUACCUUGGGAGGAGCCAAGCCAAGAUGUUCAAGUUUGAUUCCUGUUCAGUAGAAGCCUUGGAAAUACAGGGAAGCACCUUCAAGCAGAACAGACUGAUGUAUGAACAAAUCAACAGGAUGGCUUCACCAGCUUGGGAAGCAAUAAACACUGAGGGAGAAUUAAGAUGCCAGGAAUCCAGAAGCAAGAUUAGGAACUCAUGCUGGAAUCUAGUCUCUGGGCCUUCAGGACCUCUGUUCUUGAAGAGCAGUUAAGGGUUUGAGGAGAAUCAAGAAGAACAAAGGAGGAAGAAGCUCCACGAUGUUCUAGAAGUAAUGGAGGAGAACAGCUUGGCAAAAUUUAUGAGCUGUCUUCUGUGGAGAGCAGAGACCCAGAGGGUCUGGGUUUGAAUCCUGACUCUCCUAGUCACACCAGAUUGUGUGACCCUGGGCAAGUCACUUCCCUUCUAGAGGAUUUCCACUUCCCCACGUGGCAAAUGAAGAAGUUGCACAAGCCGAUCUUGAAGGGUUCCUUUUCUCUCUAAACACUGUAGAUCCCAUGAAUGCUUUGGAAGCCUUACCUUCAAACCUGAUCUCUUCAUCCUGGGACAUCUCUUGCUAAUUGUUUAUGUCAGUGUUAGCCCUGAAUGGUUAUUUGUGAUGUGUGGAAGAGCGAGGACAAGGAGUCUGGGUCAUUUUGAGCAGUUAUUAUUGUUCUAUUUGGUAUUGUAAGUGGUCAUUCCAUGAUUUGCUUCAUUACAGACAGUGCAUUUAGUUAAGCGUGUGGAUUUAAUGGGGGUCCAUUCUCAGCAGGCCAGGAGGAGCUCAGCUAUAGAAUGAUUACAGAUGCAAACGUUGGGGGAGGGGGAUAAGGAACACAGCAGGAGACACAGGGACUCAGGGUUAGACUUGGGGGUGGGGAGGCUGUUGGGUCCAUUCUCCUACCCUUUCCUGAGAUGAUGAGCGAGGGAUCCCAAGGAAGCUGACUAAUGUCAGGGAGGCCAGGACCCUCAUUACUGAGACCAGUGGCACAUUUCUUCUCUUUCCCUUUGGGGGAUAUUCCUUGCAUGUUCUAAAGCCCGUCCAGUAGAGACACAAUCUUUCCUGGAGGCCCAUGGGAGGGCUUUGUGAAGCCACUAUAUCCACCUCAUAGAGAACUAAAAAUGACCACAAUUAAAGCUGAAAGAUGACAAAGCACCUAAGGUCAAAAUCACCAGCUCUCCCUCCCCAUGUAUUUUUUUUAAAAGAUACAUUGAAGGAAGCAGGUCUCCAGGGAUGAUUUGGUUACCCAAAAAAAUAAAAAAAAGUUUUAGAAAACCGAA
rnacentral:lncRNA from 1 species